rnacentral:rRNA from 1 species
GCGUGGGAAUCUGCCCUCAGGAGGGGGAUAACGGCCGGAAACGGCCGCUAAUACCCAUAUGCCGAGAGGUGAAAUGAAUUUCGCCUGAGGAUGAGCCCGCGUCUGAUUAGCUAGUUGGUGAGGUAAGAGCUCACCAAGGCAUCGAUCAGUAGCUGGUCUGAGAGGAUGAUCAGCCACACUGGGACUGAGACACGGCCCAGACUCCUACGGGAGGCUGCAGUCGAGAAUCUUCCGCAAUGGGCGCAAGCCUGACGGAGCGACGCCGCGUGUAGGACGAAGGCCCUAGGGUUGUAAACUACU